CUGGUACUCCCUCCAUCCCAAAAUUGUUGUCUUAGAUUUGUCUAGAUAUGAAUGUAUCUAAUACUAAAACAUGACUUGAUACAUUCGUAUGUAGACAAAUCUAAGACAAUAAUUUUGGGACAGAGGGAGUACUUC
rnacentral:pre_miRNA from 1 species